UCUAUAAAAUUACCAAUGUUCUUUCCCACUGUUGUAUUUGGAGUUUAGUUGAAUUUAAAUGUACUUGGUCUCUGGAUAUUGAAGAAGAAGAUGCAAAAGAUCAGGUUAAAACAACAAUGCAUAACAUUGAGGUAUGCAUAUUAUAAAAAUAAAACCCAGAAAAUAAAAUGUUAAAAUAACCUUGAGAUAUGCAUGUUACAGAUUGUAUGAAAAUAAAACCCAGGAAUGGUUAAAAUGAUCUUCAGGUAUGCAUGUUAUAGAUUGUAUGAAAAUAAACCCAGAAAAUGUAAAAAUAACCUUCUUCAGGUAUGCAUAUUGGGUCAUGUGAAAAUAAAAGAAAAUAAAAACCAGAAAGUGUUAAAUAACAUUCAGGUAUGCAUAUAUUGGGUCAUGUAAAAAAAAAAAUAA